CUUUGAUUCUCAUGCUUUGAGGUCAUGACUCCGCCAUUCCAAGUAAAAAAAUAAUAUUAGCAAACGGUACCGAAUACAGGUCUUGUUUUAGUUCGCUAUAACAAAUAGCUUCAUUCAGUUUAUGCUAACUUCACAAAGUUGUGCUUUACAUUUGAUUCGUUAAGAGGCGUUUAGGCACUGCGCCAGACCGUAAUAAAUGUGCAAACGUUGUAAAGCUGACCCCUCUAAUAGCUUCCUACAACAGAGGUCUUGGACUAUUUGAGGAGAGCCCAACCAGUCCACAAGUGCUAGGGUGUAGCUACUGAUCCUAUACUACAGCAGAGAGAGUGAGAGGGAGGAGGGACAUCAGGUGUCACUGCUCUGCAACCCCAGUUGAGGCUGCAUUACCACGACAACCAGCUCCAGGGGUGCUGCCAGCUCUCUGCCUUAGCCAGCCCUGCACCCAGCCGACCACCCAGCCAGCUAUCUACCCAUGCAUCCAUCCAUCCAUCCAUCCAUCCAGCCAUCCAGCCAGGCCGGCCCUACACUGCCCAGAACUGGCAACCCACAGGAGUCAUCAGGGUUAGUGUGCCUUUGGCACACCUCUGUGCCAAAAUCAUCUCCAAGCAUCAGGCAGCAACUUGUAAAUUUAUGGAUCUGCAUUUAAACCAAAGGCCAGACAAUCAGAUAAUAUACUUACAUUAGAGAGAGAGAGAGAGAGAAGGGGGGCGAUCCCCAGCCAUCCAUAAAACACUGCCACUGGUCCUGAUUUAUCAGUCAAUAGGACAAGUCAAGAGACAUGCAGAUUUUUAAUUGUAGCACAAAAACCAAUGU